rnacentral:siRNA from 1 species
GUGAAGUUCAGGAAGUCACUU